rnacentral:rRNA from 1 species
UACGGAGGGUGCAAGCGUUGUCCGGAUUUAUUGGGUUUAAAGGGUGCGUAGGCGGCCCGUUAAGUCAGUGGUGAAAGCCUCCAGCUCAACCGUGGAACUGCUGGGUAUACUGGCGGUCUUGAGCCACCUAGGGGCAACUGGAACAAGCGGUGGAGCGGUGAAAUGCGUAGAUAUCGCUUGGAACGCCAACGGUGAAAACAGGUUGCUGGGGGUGUGCUGACGCUGAGACACGAAAGCCAGGGGAGCGAACGGG